GAUGAACGCUAGCGACAGGCUUAACACAUGCAAGUCGAGGGGCAACAGGGUGUAGCAAUACGCUGAUGGCGACCGGCGCACGGGUGCGUAACGCGUAUGGAACCUACCCACCGCAGGGGGAUAACCCGCCGAAAGGCGGACUAAUACCCCAUGGUUCCCCGACCCUGCCUGGGGUUGGGGGUAAAGCCUACGGGCGGCGGUGGAUGGCCCUGCGUGCCAUUAGCUGGCUGGUGGGGUAACGGCCCACCAGGGCGACGAUGGCUAGGGGGUCUGAGAGGACGAUCCCCCACACUGGUACUGAGACACGGACCAGACUCCUACGGGAGGCAGCAGUGAGGAAUAUUGGUCAAUGGGCGAAAGCCUGAUGCAGCAACGCCGCGUGAGGGAAGACGGUUUUCGGAUUGUAAACCUCUGUCCUUGGUGAAGAACAAAUGACGGUAGCCGAGGAGGAAGCCACGGCUAACUACGUG
rnacentral:rRNA from 1 species